CGAGUCUGCCUUGAAGAUCGGAGUGCUUGCACUCUGUGAAACAGAUACCAGGCUAGCGCGGACGGUGAGUAACACGUGGGGGUAACCCUGCCCAAGAGAUCGGGGAUAACACCUGGGAAACAGAUAGCUAAUACCGGAUAACAACAGAUGAUGCCUAUCAACUGUUUAAAAGAUGUUCUGCUAUCACUCUUGGGAUGGACCUGCGGUGCAUUAGCUAGUUGGUAGGGGUAACGGGCCUACCAAGGCGAUGAUACAUAGCCCGAGUUGAGAGACUGAUCGGGCCACAUUGGGGACUGAGACACGGGCCCAAACUCCUACGGGAGGCAGCAGUAGGGAAUCUUCCACAAUGGACGCAAGUCUGAUGGAGCAAACGCCGCGUGAGUGAAGAAGGGUUUCGGCUCGUAAAAAGCUCUGUUGUUGGUGAAGAAGGACAGGGGUAGUAACUGACCCUUUGUUUGACGGUAAUCAAUUAGAAAGUCACGGGCUAACUACGUGCCAGCAGCCGCGGUAAAU
rnacentral:rRNA from 1 species